GCGUUCAGUGACAGAGCAAGUAUGUUGCCUUGCAUAGAUUCGAAUCUGAAAAAUGCUUGAUUCACCAAUGGUUGUUGCUCGCACUCGCCAUUUACAUCAACGGGUCCAACAUUUGACAACAUACAAACUAGGCCUUGAUCGAUCAACAUAGAAAUCAAACUUUUGGAAGACACUUAUAAUUUUCAAUGUACUCUCCAAUGCAUCUUUA
rnacentral:lncRNA from 1 species